UAUCGUGGGGGAUAACGAAUCGAAAGAUUCGCUAAUACCGCAUACGACCUGAGGGUGAAAGCGGGGGAUCGCAAGACCUCGCGCGAUUGGAGCGGCCGAUGUCGGAUUAGCUAGUUGGUGAGGUAAAGGCUCACCAAGGCGACGAUCCGUAGCUGGUCUGAGAGGACGACCAGCCACACUGGGACUGAGACACGGCCCAGACUCCUACGGGAGGCAGCAGUGGGGAAUUUUGGACAAUGGGGGCAACCCUGAUCCAGCCAUUCCGCGUGAGUGAAGAAGGCCUUCGGGUUGUAAAGCUCUUUCGGCAGGAACGAAACGGUGCAGGUUAAUACCCUGUAUCAAUGACGGUACCUGAAGAAGAAGCACCGGCUAACUAUGUGCCAGCAGCCGCGGUAAUACGUAGGGUGCGAGCGUUAAUCGGAAUUACUGGGCGUAAAGCGUGCGCAGGCGGCUUUGUAAGACAGGUGUGAAAUCCCCGGGCUUAACCUGGGAACUGCGCUUGUGACUGCAAGGCUUGAGUGCGGCAGAGGGGGGUGGAAUUCCACGUGUAGCAGUGAAAUGCGUAGAGAUGUGGAGGAACACCGAUGGCGAAGGCAGCCCCCUGGGUCGACACUGACGCUCAUGCACGAAAGCGUGGGUAGCAAACAGGAUUAGAUACCCUGGUAGUCCACGCCCUAAACGAUGCCAACUAGGUGUUGGGGAAGGAGACUUCCUUAGUACCGUAGCUAACGCGUGAAGUGGCCGCC
rnacentral:rRNA from 1 species